CCUACGGGAGGCAGCAGUGGGGAAUAUUGGGCAAUGGAGGCAACUCUUACCCAGCAAUGCCGCGUGAAUGAAGAAGGUCUUCGGAUUGUAAAGUUCUUUAAUGGGGGACGAAUAAUAUUACGGUACCCACGGAAUAAGCUACCGUUAACUUCGGGACAGGAGACGCGGUAAUACGUAGGGGGCAAGCGUUGGCCGGAGUGAAUGGGGUGAAGGGGUGUGGAGGCGGUGUAGCAAGUUAGAAGUGAAAUACCUAGAGCGUAACUGGGGAACUGCCUCUAAGACUGCUAUACUUGAGUGCAGUAGAGGAGGGUAGAAUUCCUGGUGUAGCGGUGGAAUGCGUAGAUAUUAGGAGGAACACCGGUUGCGAAGGCGUCUUUCUGGACUGUGACUGACGCUGAGGCACGAAAGUGUGGGGAGCAAACAGGAUUAGAUACCCCAGUAGUC
rnacentral:rRNA from 1 species